UAAACGGCGAAACUGCGAAUGGCUCAUUAAAUCAGUUAUCGUAUAUUUGAUAGUACCUACUACAUGGAUAACCGUGGUAAUUCUAGAGCUAAUACAUGCUUAAAAUCCCGACUUCGGAAGGGAUGUAUUUAUUAGAUUAAAAACCAAUGCCCUUCGGGGCUCACUGGUGAUUCAUAAUAACUUCUCGAAUCGCAUGGCCUUGUGCCGGCGAUGGUUCAUUCAAAUUUCUGCCCUAUCAACUUUCGACGGCUGGGUCUUGGCCAGCCGUGGUUACAACGGGUAACGGAGGGUUAGGGCUUGACCCCGGAGAAGGAGCCUGAGAAACGGCUACUACAUCCAAGGAAGGCAGCAGGCGCGCAAAUUACCCAAUCCCGACUCGGGGAGGUAGUGACAAUAAAUACUGAUACAGGGCUCUUUUGGGUCUUGUAAUUGGAAUGAGUACAAUUUAAAUCCCUUAACGAGGAACAAUUGGAGGGCAAGUCUGGUGCCAGCAGCCGCGGUAAUUCCAGCUCCAAUAGCGUAUAUUAAAGUUGUUGCAGUUAAAAAGCUCGUAGUUGAACCUUGGGCCUGGCUGGCCGGUCUGCCUCACCGCAUGCACUGGUCCGGCCGGGCCUUUCCCUCUGGGGAGCCGCAUGCCCUUCACUGGGUGUGUCGGGGAACCAGGACUUUUACUGUGAAAAAAUUAGAGUGUUCAAAGCAGGCAUAUGCUCGAAUACAUUAGCAUGGAAUAAUAGAAUAGGACGUUGCGGUUCUAUUUUGUUGGUUUCUAGGACCGCCGUAAUGAUUAAUAGGGACAGUCGGGGGCAUCAGUAUUCAAUCGUCAGAGGUGAAAUUCUUGGAUCGAUUGAAGACUAACUACUGCGAAAGCAUUUGCCAAGGAUGUUUUCAUUAAUCAGGAACGAAAGUUAGGGGAUCGAAAACGAUCAGAUACCGUUGUAGUCUUAACCAUAAACUAUGCCGACUAGGGAUCGGGCGGUGUUAUUUCUUGACCCGCUCGGCACCUUACACGAAAGUAAAGUU
rnacentral:rRNA from 1 species